rnacentral:rRNA from 1 species
GACAGAGGGUGCAAACGUUGUUCGGAAUUACUGGGCGUAAAGGGUGCGUAGGCGGUCUUUUAAGUCGGAUGUGAAAUCCCUGGGCUUAACCUAGGAAUUGCAUACGAUACUGCAAGACUCGAGUACAGUAGAGGAUAGUGGAAUUCCACGUGUAGCGGUGAAAUGCGUAGAUAUGUGGAGGAACACCAGUGGCGAAGGCGGCUAUCUGGACUGAUACUGACGCUGAGGCACGAAAGCGUGGGGAGCAAACAGG